rnacentral:rRNA from 1 species
UACGUAGGGUGCACGCGUUGUCCGGAAUCAUUGGGCGUAAAGCGCGCGUAGGUGGUCAUGUAAGUCCGCUGUGAAAGUCAAAGGCUCAACCUUUGAAAGCCGGUGGAUACUGCAUGACUAGAGUACGGAAGAGGCGAGUGGAAUUCCUGGUGUAGCGGUGGAAUGCGCAGAUAUCAGGAGGAACACCAAUAGCGAAGGCAGCUCGCUGGGACGUUACUGACACUGAGGCGCGAAAGCGUGGGGAGCGAACAGG